UGGAGAGUUUGAUCCUGGCUCAGAACGAACGCUGGCGGCAGGCUUCAUACAUGCAAGUCGAGCGGGCGUCUCUUUUCGGAGAGGCGUUAGCGGCGAACGGGUGAGUAACAGGUGGAUAAUCUGCCUCCUGGCGGGGGAUAACGGCUGGAAACGGUCGCUAAUACCGCAUGUGGUUGCUGGGUCCAUGCCCGGCAAAAAAAGGCGCUUCACGGCGCCACCAGGAGAUGAGUCCGCCCCCCAUUAGCUAGUUGGCGGGAUAACAGCCCACCAAGGCUUCGAUGGGUAGCCGAGCUGAGAGGUUGAUCGGCCACACUGGAACUGAGACACGGUCCAGACACCUACGGGUGGCAGCAGUAGGGAAUAUUGGACAAUGGGCGAAAGCCUGAUCCAGCCAUGCCGCGUGAGUGAUGAAGGCCUUCGGGUCGUAAAGCUCUUUUCUGAGGGAAGAACAGCCGGGGGAGGAAAUGUCCCCGGCCUGACGGUACCUUAGGAAUAAGGGACGGCUAACUCCGUGCCAGCAGCCGCGGUAAUACGGAGGUCCCGAGCGUUGUUCGGAAUUACUGGGCGUAAAGGGAGCGCAGGCGGACGGGUCAGUCUGAAGUGGAAAUCCGGGGCUUAACCUCGGACUUGCUUCGGAUACUGCCCGUCUUGAGUUCGUGAGAGGAAGAUGGAAUUCAGGGUGUAGCGGUGAAAUGCUCAGAUAUCCUGAGGAACACCAGUGGCGAAAGCGGUCUUCUGGCACGAAACUGACGCUGAGGCUCGAAAGCGUGGGGAGCGAACGGGAU
rnacentral:rRNA from 1 species